rnacentral:rRNA from 1 species
GACGUAGGGCGCGAGCGUUGUCCGGAUUCAUUGGGCGUAAAGGGUGCGUAGGCGGCGCGGUAAGUCGGGUGUGAAAACUCUGGGCUCAACUCGGAGACGCCACCCGAUACUGUUGUGACUUGAGUCCGGUAGGGGAGUAUGGAAUUCCCGGUGUAGCGGUGAAAUGCGCAGAUAUCGGGAGGAACACCAGUGGCGAAGGCGGUACUCUGGGCCGGAACUGACGCUGAGGAGCGAAAGCGUGGGUAGCGAACAGG